rnacentral:rRNA from 1 species
AACGAACGCUGGCGGCAUGCCUAACACAUGCAAGUCGAACGAAACCUUCGGGUCUAUUGGCGCACGGGUUCGUAACGCGUGGGAACCUUCCCUUAUGUUCGGAAUAACUCUCCGACAGGGGUGCUAAUACCGGAUAAUGUCUUCUGACCAAAGAUUUCUUGCCUUUGGAUGUUCCCGCGUUGGAUUAGCUAGUUGGUAGGGUAAAAGCAUACCAAGGCGACGAUCCAUAGCUGGUCUGAGAGGAUGAUCAGCGACACUGGGACUGAGACACGGCCCAGAAUCCUACGGGAGGCAGCAGUGGGGAAUAGUGGAAAAUGGGCGAAAGGCUGAUCCAGCAAUGACGCGUGAGUGAUGAAGGCAUUAGGGUUGUAAAGCUCUUUUACCCGGGAUGAUAAUGACAGUACCGGGAGAAUAAGCUCCGGCUAACUCCGUG